CAUGGAAGAAAAUAACUAUGUCGAUGAUCGUGGAAUUUCCAGAUUCCAAGGUGAGGACCGUGGAAAUUAUUAAGAAGAAGUGGAACAAUUUCAGCCAAUCUGCUAAGGCUGCUAUUGCCAACCACAAGGCAGGGUUGACUGAAACAGGAGGAGGCCCAUCUACAGGACCGCUGAAGCCACUCUAUGAAAAAUUUUGGCAACACAUUCUAGG